rnacentral:rRNA from 1 species
GACAGAGGGUGCAACCGUUGUUCGGAAUUACUGGGCGUAAAGCGCGUGUAGGCGGCUUCGCAAGUCGGGUGUGAAAUCCCACGGCUCAACCGUGGAGGUGCAUUCGAAACUGCAAGGCUAGAGUCCUGGAGAGGAAGGUGGAAUGCUUGGUGUAGAGGUGAAAUUCGUAGAUAUCAAGCGGAACACCGGUGGCGAAGGCGACCUUCUGGACAGUGACUGACGCUGAGACGCGAAAGCGUGGGGAGCAAACAGG